UGUUUUGACAUAAUCGGACGUCAGUAACACAGGUGGUUAAAUAGAUAAAUAAAUAAUACCAAUAAUCACAAACUAAUAAAUAUAAGGAUCAUUACUAUUAGCACCGAUUGGUAUACUCAGAAGAAAACGCCUCGUGCUUUAUCACAAACAGAGCACAGACACUGAUCGUAAUAUAAUUAAAAUGAGUGAUUAUAAUGUAGGACGUUCUUUUCGGAAUUUUCUCGUUGGGGAAACGUUAUUACUCAGUCUGGUAAAUGCACUGCUACCAACACCUUUACAAUUCGAGAACAACGCACACAGUUUUCGUUUGACAGUUGAUACUCCGGCAGCCAUUCCAUGGAUAAAUCCCUAUUACAUGGACGCGAUCGUGUUUUUCAACAACGUUGAAGUCGGGGCCUGCGAUUUGUACAGAGGACAAAGCUAUGUCUUGAGUGAUGAAAUUCUAUCUCGUGUUUCGGUUAAUAUUAUAAAUGGGCAUUGCCAAUUAAACAUUUUCCGUGCAUCUUGUGAGGACAGAUACAUUGCGGUGAAACUAACAGGGACAUCGCAUGUAAUUAACGCUUCUCUUAUCGUUGACGGAUGCGACUCCAAACCAUUGGAUCCUACCGUCAAUGUGGAACAGCAUGAAUAUGACGUAGCUACUUUCAGCUUGUUAGAAAACAAUUCUGAUGACGUCACUGUAAAGCCAUCGCAAGUGGCUUAUUUCACCGCUCAACAUAAUACAUCUGUACGGACUGUGACCACUGUGCCAUACCACACCUCUACAGGUGGAAAGAUCACCGUGUCAAAGAGAGCAUUAUUUUCAUCGGUGAUAACAAUUGUAGCUAAACGCUGGUACCAUUUUCGUGCAUUUUUCGACAGGUUUUGAAAUUGUUUUAUGCCACGCAUUUUUUUGAUAAGUAUUGUUAUAUAAGGAAUUUAUAUUUAUAUUCGUAGUACUCAUCUGGAUAGUUAUUAACAUUUACCGAUUUUUACAAUAUCAUGUCUUCAAAUAAUUAAAACACUGUUAGGAAAUUAACUUGUUACAUGUUCCAUAUUUUACAGGCGAUACACACUUAUGUAUGAUAUUAUAUUUAUAGAAAAAUAUGACACAACUUUGAAAUUAUAUUACAUUUUGCUAUUAUGUUAUGUAUUAUGGGCCAGAUACCUUGAUUGACCAAAUAAACUGUUCUGUUCUA